rnacentral:rRNA from 1 species
CUGGCUCAGGAUGAACGCUAGCGACAGGCUUAACACAUGCAAGUCGAGGGGCAGCAUAAAAGUAGCAAUACUUGGUGGCGACCGGCGCACGGGUGAGUAACGCGUAUGCAACCUACCUAUCAGAGGGGAAUAACCCGGCGAAAGUCGGACCAAUACCGCAUAAAACAGGGGGCACCGCAUGGUGAUAUUGUUAAAGAAAUUCGCUGAUAGAUGGGCAUGCGUUCCAUUAGGUAGUUGGUGAGGUAACGGCUCACCAAGCCGACGAUGGAUAGGGGAACUGAGAGGUUGGUCCCCCACACUGGUACUGAGACACGGACCAGACUCCUACGGGAGGCAGCAGUGAGGAAUAUUGGUCAAUGGGCGGGAGCCUGAACCAGCCAAGUCGCGUGAAGGAAGAAAAGGAUCUAUGGUUCGUAAACUUCUUUUGCAGGGGAAUAAAGUGCAUCACGUGUGAUGUUUUGUAUGUACUCUGCGAAUAAGGAUCGGCUAACUCCGUGCCAGCAGCCGC